UACGGAGGAUGCAAGCGUUAUCCGGAAUGAUUGGGUGUAAAGCGUCCGCAGGUGGCUGUGUAAGUCUGCUGUUAAAGAGCGAGGCUCAACCUCAUAAAGGCAGUGGAAACUACAUGGCUAGAGUGCGUUCGGGGCAGAGGGAAUUCCUGGUGUAGCGGUGAAAUGCGUAGAGAUCAGGAAGAACACCGGUGGCGAAAGCGCUCUGCUAGGCCGCAACUGACACUGAGGGACGAAAGCUAGGGGAGCGAAUGGG
rnacentral:rRNA from 1 species